rnacentral:lncRNA from 10 species
ACAGAUAAAGCUAAGUUCCUGUGAUCACACCAAACCCCAUCCUAGUUCGCUUAUAAUCAAUUUGUGCCCAAAAGAAUUGCUGCUUCUAAAUUUCUUCCAACCUGCAGCAGAUGAGAUCUGUGGAACAUCAGACAUCUCAAUGAGAAGUGAAAAUAUCAUCAAUCAUAGCUUCAGCUCUCAAAGGUUGUUAACGUUAGAAGAUACUGGAUGAAGAGGCACCAGAACUCCUUGUACAUUUCUUUGCAACUUCCUUUG